rnacentral:tRNA from 1 species
GGGUAUAUCUCAGUGGUAGAGUGUGUGUUUAGCAUGCACGAGGUCCUGGGUUCAAUUUCUAGUAUGUCCA